AUACGUAGGUGACAAGCGUUAUCCGGAUUUACUGGGCGUAAAGGGCGUGUAGGCGGUCUUGCAAGUCAGAAGUGAAAUUCCUGAGCUCAACUCGGGCGCUGCUUCUGAAACUGCAGGACUUGAGUGCUGGAGGGGAUAGCGGAAUUCCUAGUGGAGCGGUAAAAUGCGCAGAUAUUAGGAAGAACACCGGUGGCGAAGGCGGCUAUCUGGACAGUAACUGACGCUGAGGCGCGAAAGCGUGGGGAGCGAACAGGAUUAGAUACCCUGGUAGUCCACGCUGUAAACGAUGAAUGCUAGGUGUAGGGGGUAUCGACCCCUCCUGUGCCGGAGUAAACGCAAUAAGCAGUCCGCCUGGGGAGUACGGCCGCAAGGUUGAAACUCAAAGGAAUUGACGGGG
rnacentral:rRNA from 1 species